CGCGUAUGCAACCUACCUUGAACUGGGGAAUAGCCCCGAGAAAUCGGGAUUAAUACUCCAUAACAUUCAUUCUUCUCCUGGAGGAUGAAUUAAAGCUCCGGCGGUUUAAGAUGGGCAUGCGUGACAUUAGCUAGUUGGUGAGGUAACGGCUCACCAAGGCAACGAUGUCUAGGGGUCCUGAGAGGGUUAUCCCCCACACUGGUACUGAGACACGGACCAGACUCCUACGGGAGGCAGCAGUAAGGAAUAUUGGGCAAUGGACGCAAGUCUGACCCAGCCAUGCCGCGUGCAGGAUGACUGCCCUACGGGUUGUAAACUGCUUUUGUACGGGAAGAAUCCCCCCGACGUGUCGGGGAUUGACGGUACCGUGCGAAUAAGCAUCGGCUAACUCCGUG
rnacentral:rRNA from 1 species